rnacentral:rRNA from 1 species
CAGUCGCCGCGGUAAUACGGAGGGUGCAAGCGUUAAUCGGAAUUACUGGGCGUAAAGCGCACGCAGGCGGUCUGUCAAGUCGGAUGUGAAAUCCCCGGGCUCAACCCGGGAAUUGCAUUCGAAACUGGCAGGCUAGAGUCUUGUAGAGGGGGGUAGAAUUCCAGGUGUAGCGGUGAAAUGCGUAGAGAUCUGGAGGAAUACCGGUGGCGAAGGCGGCCCCCUGGACAAAGACUGACGCUCAGGUGCGAAAGCGUGGGGAGCAAACAGGAUUAGAUACCCGCGUAGUCCCUGUCUCUUAUAC